CCUACGGGAGGCAGCAGUAGGGAAUCUUCCACAAUGGACGAAAGUCUGAUGGAGCAAUGCCGCGUGAGUGAAGAAGGGUUUCGGCUCGUAAAACUCUGUUGUUAAAGAAGAACACCUUUGAGAGUAACUGUUCAAGGGUUGACGGUAUUUAACCAGAAAGCCACGGCUAACUACGUGCCAGCAGCCGCGGUAAU
rnacentral:rRNA from 1 species